rnacentral:rRNA from 1 species
GCAAACGUUGUUCGGAAUCACUGGGCUUAAAGGGCGCGUAGGCGGGUCUCCAAGUCCGGGGUGAAAUCUUUCGGCUCAACCGGAAAAUCGCCUUGGAUACUGGAGGUCUGGAGGGAGGUAGGGGUCCGUGGAACUCAGGGUGGAGCGGUGAAAUGCGUAGAUAUCCUGAGGAACACCGGUGGCGAAAGCGACGGACUGGACCUUUUCUGACGCUGAGGCGCGAAAGCUAGGGGAGCAAACGGGAUUAGAUACCCCGGUAGUCCUAGCCCUAAACGAUGGGUACUGGAUUGUGGACUGACAUGGGUUCACAGUCGCAGCAAAAGUGUUAAGUACCCCGCCUGGGGAGUAUGGUCGCAAG